rnacentral:misc_RNA from 1 species
AACCUAGCACACCUGCGGUGUGUACCUGCGGAGGGAUCAUUACCUAGAGUUGUAGGCUUUGCCUGCUAUCUCUUACCCAUGUCUUUUGAGUACCUUACGUUUCCUCGGUGGGUUCGCCCGCCGGUUGGACAAAACUUAAACCCUUUGUAGUUGCAAUCAGCGUCUGAAAAAACUUAAUAGUUACAACUUUUAGCAACGGAUCU